rnacentral:lncRNA from 1 species
CUUUAGAAAAUUUGAGAAACUAUUGUAGAACCAUUCGGUGGCCGGUAUGGGAGGUUUAUCCGCCACUGAAGGGUUAUGGACUAAAUUUUAAAAAGAGGCCAGGGUCUAGAUCUCGUUAAUUAACAUGUCAUUUUUGUUCAUUUUUUUUUCUAAUUCUGCGACAUCUGGGGAAAAAAUCAAUCUUCCAAUCAUGACGCAGGCACCUCAAGGCCACACAAGCAAAUCAAAUUAAACUUUAGAAACUGACAUAUCGUUUUUGUUCAAUCUUUUCUGGAAGAACAGAGCUACAUGUAAAGGUACAAAGUUGUUUUUUACUAUUUCUCAUAUGCGUAAAGAAAAUUGGUUUCAUGAUUUCAUUCAACCAGAAAUGUCUUCAUCAUUUAAUUUUAAUUAAUGUGAGGAUUAUACAUAAUAUGAUAUUAUGGUUUUUAUGUUUUUUCAAUGCUAUAGUCUUGUCGUGAGAUGGAAUAAGAUCAUGCCAUACUAUAGAUAGGUUGUGCUUAAGUAUUGAGUGAACCCAUCCCCAUUUGCAAAAAUUUCUAGCUCCUGCAAUAGAUAUAUAAGUAGGGUGUGUGCAUUUCUCAGUCGAUGAUCAGAGCUAUUCAGUUAAGAUUAGUUUUACUAUAAUUUGUACUUGU